GCAAUCGACCACAGCAUUGUGAAAAGCAGGACUUCCCGUUCGCUCAGUCGUACUUAAGUCACAUGGCGCCUGGCCAGUAGCAAAGUUUGGUGACAAUUUGCGAAUCCCAGGUGUUGAUUGUU
rnacentral:rRNA from 1 species